UGGAAAAUAGUUUAAAGGUAGAACGUUCGGUUCUGGACCGAAAAAUUUUAGUUCGAUUCUAAAUUUUCCAG
rnacentral:tRNA from 1 species